CUUGAGAAAAGAAGAUUCAGAGUGGAUCUGACUAAUGUUUAUAAGUCUCUUAAGUGUGGGAGUCAAAGAGACAUGGCCAACCUCUUUUCAGCAGUCUCUGGGGACAGAACAAGGAGAAACAGCCAUAAACUGGAGCACAGGAAAUUCUACACCAAUAAGCAAAAUAACUUCUUCACAGUGAGGAUGACAGAGCACGGGAACAGGCUGCCCUGGGAUGUUGUGGAUUUUCCUUUUCUGGAGAUAUUCAAGACCUGCCUGGACAGCUACCUGUGUAACCUGCUGUAGGGGGUCUGCUUUGCAGGUGAGAAAGCGAAAAUGUUGUAUUUCCUUCAACAAUUCUAUUAUUGUAGCUCUCCUUCAGCUUUUGGAUCCUCUAAUGAGCUGAAAACGUUCCCUCUAGCUACCUGAAGUAUAUGAAAUAUAUAUGCUACAUCAUGUUCAUGGAAGAUUUCUUAUUUGAAAAAUAAUAAAUGGAAAGAGGAAGAAGCUGAAGAGGACACGGAGAUUCCGAAAGGCAGCAAAAGAAACACAAUUGCCAAAAUCAC
ensembl:lncRNA